CAACAAAAUAGAAACGAAGAAGUAUAUUCUGUAUGUGGGCACCUGGGAUAUACAGAGUUAGUGGUGCAACCGGCUAUAUUUAUU
rfam:Clostridium sp. JC272 contig134, whole genome shotgun sequence.